AUUGAACGCUGGUGGCAUGCUUAACACAUGCAAGUCGAACGGCAGCACAGUGUGUAGCAAUACACAUGGGUGGCGAGUGGCGGACGGGUGCGUAACGCGUAGGAAUCUGCCCUGAAGCGGGGGACAACCCGAGGAAAUUCGGGCUAAUACCGCAUAAUCUCGAGAGAGAAAAGCUGGGGAAACCUGGCACUUCAGGAGGAGCCUGCGUCCGAUUAGCUAGUUGGUAGGGUAAAAGCCUACCAAGGCGAUGAUCGGUAGCUGGUCUGAGAGGAUGAUCAGCCACACUGGGACUGAGACACGGCCCAGACUCCUACGGGAGGCAGCAGUGGGGAAUAUUGGACAAUGGGGGCAACCUUGAUCCAGCAAUGCCGCGUGUGUGAAGAAGGCCUUCGGGUUGUAAAGCACUUUAGUUGGGGAAGAAGAUGUGUAGUUUAAGAGAUGACACAUUUGACGGUACCCAAAGAAUAAGCACCGGCUAACUCUGUGCCAGCAGCCGCAGUAA
rnacentral:rRNA from 1 species